GCCGGGGUAGCUCAGCUGGGAGAGCAACAGACUGAAGUGUAUAUAUGUGGCAUAUGUGGCAUAUGUGGCAUUCUGGAGGUCCCGUGUUCAAUCCACGGUCCUGGCA